rnacentral:sRNA from 1 species
CCAAACCUCAGUAAGUUCCCUUUCUUCCUUAGGAUUUAAACUCCGCACCCCGGUACGGCAUCCAAGCGUUUUAGCGCUCGGCCACCUUGCCUCAUCAGUCCUAUUGUAAGACUCACUUUUUAAAGUUAACUUUGUACAGUGCUGGAACAGGAGGCUAAACUAGCCAAAGCUGCUGCCUCGUUUGAUCGGCCUUAAAAAACACACUAAAAAACAACAACACUAGAGAGGAAGCGAAAACAAUGGUGAAAUCCAAAAAGAUUUAAAAGAAGUUAAUUAUGGGCCGAAAUAAAAGAUUGUUAUUUCCCCUUUU